rnacentral:lncRNA from 1 species
GGUUGUUAGGUCACGUGUUAUAAGUCGCUUCUUCAGUUCUUCUCGAGAGAAAAGAAAGGACAUGUUGUUUUCGCCCAACGUUUAAAACGUUUGAGCGUUUUUAGGUUUUCAGAUGCUAAUUGACGCGGAAUUUUGGAGUAUUUUUACAGGAAGUAUGUGUUAGAUGCAAGAUCUAUCCCGUAUAGUAGAAAUUCUAUCUUUGAACGGUAUUUUUGGUCCAAUUUCUUACAAAACUUUGAAGUCCAAACCACGCCAUAUUUGGCCGGUUGAUUUUCAAAUUCAGCUCUUCUCUUCAUAAAAUCCUUGCAAUAAACUCGCAUUAACACAUAGAAAUUGAAAGAUCGACAUUCUUUGGUGAGUAAUAAAGGUGAUUUGGAUACUUUUUGAGUUGGGUCCCCGAAUAAAAGCAUAUUUGGUUGAAAAUAUAUUUAAAAGCUCGGUGACGUUUCAAUGAAUUCAAUUCGUCUUGCGUUUGGUUGUAGUCGAUGACUAAACUAACAUUUCAUACAAAGACUAAACUGGCAUCGACAUAUAUAUAAACGAAAAAGACUUACUGAAAAAUUUAAUGGAAAUAGCGGCAAAAUUCUGGAAGGGAUUCGAAGCUUCAGGAUUUUUAUAUCGUGUAUAUUUGUUCUUGGGCAACACCCAAGCGAACACGAUAAUAUUAAAUAUUAAUGAUCAAAAUACAACAGGUCAGAUUCUAACAAAUUUGCCGGUAUAAAAGACAUCAAUCUUGUAAAAAUUCCGAAUCACGUUUGUACCUUUUUAAUUUAUACAGAAAAUUGUCAAUCUCUUAAAAUUUUGUGUACAAUUUUCAGAAAAAAAACACGUAAAAUUUUGUAUGGACUAUGGAAUUUGGCGGGAAAGGUCCAAAACGCUUUUAAAAAUACACGUAAAUAUAAAUAGAUUUUUAAAUGUAGCGCCCAAUUUUAAUUCCCAAGGGAGAAUAUAAUUUUUGACUUUUGCAUGUAAUUAUUUUUAAUAGGAAAAUAAUAUGUGCCAUUUUAUACAAAAGUAUUGCAUAAAAGCUACAUAAAACGCUAACGUUUAUGCUUUACGUCGCUGAAAUUUUCAAUAAAAUGUAAUUAAUGAAAAAGCAAAAAAAUCAUUUUCACUGAAAAAAAUGAGAAAAGUGUAAAAAAUCAGGCUGGACUUUGGUUGGGAGAUGGAAAGCUUUUGGGGGUGGUGCAGAAAUCUAGCUCAGCCCCCAUGGAAUGUUAGGGCUUAGAAAUAUGCUUGUACUGUGCAUCUGUACUGGAAAGUAGGCCACUUUAGAGUUUAGCCUGAGAUCUCCUGGGGCAGGCUAGCUAUUUUGUACUACUAAUUACUAAUAAAUUUCUGUAAUUAUGGUAGGUGUGUUAGUGCCUUCCACUGAGGCUGUACAUAUGUAUCAGUGUAGUGAUGAAUUAUAACUACGAUUCAUCCAAUUUUGCCCUUCAUUACAUUACUACAAACUUUCUUUCAAAACAUUAAAAAGGGUACUUGAACAUUAAAAGCAUUAAAAUGGUACUUGACACAGAGAUGAACAGUGUUCCAAUUUAUAGUACAACUUUCUCGUGCACACCUCUG